UAUCGCAAGAUAUUUCGCUCUAGGAGGGGCCCGCGUCGGAUUAGCUGGUUGGUGGGGUAACGGCCUACCAAGGCGAUGAUCCGUAGCUGGUCUGAGAGGAUGAUCAGCCACACUGGGACUGAGACACGGCCCAGACUCCUACGGGAGGCAGCAGUGGGGAAUAUUGGACAAUGGGCGCAAGCCUGAUCCAGCAAUGCCGCGUGAGUGAUGAAGGCCUUCGGGUUGUAAAGCUCUUUCGCCCGCGACGAUGAUGACGGUAGCGGGAGAAGAAGCCCCGGCU
rnacentral:rRNA from 1 species